GCCACAGUAACGCCAGAUCCAAGCCACAUCUGCAAACUACACCACAGUUCACAGCAACGCUGGAUCUGUAAUUCACUUAAGGAGGCCAGGGAUUGAACCCACAACCUUAUGGUUCCUAGUUGGAUUAGUUUCUGCUGCGCCAUGACGGGGAACUCCUCUUUUGGCCAGAACUUAAUUACAUGGUCAUAUGGUUGAGAAAAAUAGUCUCUGUUCUGAAUGGCCAGAUUCCUCUUUUAAAUGGAGGUGCCUAUUUCUAAGGAAGACUAAGGAUGACUACUUCUAUUCUUUAUUUUUUUUAAUGUUCUUUUUUUAAAAAUUGAUGUAUAGUUGAUGUACAAAUAGUGAUUCGCAAUUUUACAAGGUUACUCUCAUUUACAGUUAUGAAAUAUUGGCUAUACUCCCUGUGUUGUACAAUAUAUCUUUGUAGCUUAUUUUAUACAGUAUAGUUUUUAACUCUUAAUCCCCCAGCCCUACAAUGCUGUUCUCCUCCUCUCUCCCCACUGGUAACCACUAGUUUGUUCUUUCUUCUUUGCUAUAUUCCCUAAUUUGUUUUACUUUUCAGAUUCCACAUAUAAAUGGUAUCACUCACCAUUUGUCUUUUUCUGUAUGACUGAUUUCACUUAGCAUAAUACCUUCCAAGUCCAUCCAUAUUGCUGCAAAUGGAAAAUUUUCAUUCUUUUUUAUGUCUGAGUAGUAUUCCUUCACAUAUCUAUGUAUCUAUAUACCCGUAUCUAUCUAUCUAUAUAUCUAUAACAUCUUCCUUAUCCAUUCAUAUAUUGAUGGACACUUAAUAUAUUGAUGGAUACUUAUGUUUGUUCCAUAUCUUGGACAUAAUAAUGCUGUUAUGAACAUAGUGUACAUGUAUCUUUUUGAAUCAGUGUUUUUAUUUUUGUUUUGGAAAUAUGUCCAGAAUUAGAACUGCUAAAUCAUAUGGUUCUUCCAUUUUUAGUUUUUGGAGAAACCUCCAUAUUGUUUUACACAGUGGCUGCACUAAUUUACACUCCCUCUGACAGUGUAUGAAGUUCCCUUUUCUCCAUAACCUUGCCAACAUUUGUUAUUUGUGUUCUUUUUGAUGAUAGCCAUUCUGACAGAUGUGAGAUUAUAUCUCACUGAGGUUUUAAUUUGCAUUUCUGUGAUGAAUCAGUGUUGACCAUAUUUACAUGUGCCUUUUGGCCAUCUGCAUUUCUUCUUUGGAAAAAUGUCUAUUAAGUUCUGCUUGUUUCUUAAUCGGGUUGUUUAUUUUUUGAUAUUGAGCUGUAUGAGCUAUUUGUAUAUGUUAGAUACUUACCCCUUAUCAGUCAUAUCAUUUACAAGUAUUUUCUCCCAUUUAUUAGGUUGUCUUUUUGUUUUGUUAAUGGUUUUGUUUACUAUGAAAAAGCUUUUAAGUUUAUUAGGGACUGAUAUUUGUUAAUAAUUGCCUCUGCAUAUAUUCUAAAAUUAUUUGCAUAAAUGUGCUUUCAACUAAAUUGGUAAGGAAUUAUUGAGUGUCUACAACUAUGCAGGAAACUCUGUUAAGUGUUGUGAGAUGUAAAGAUAAAUAAACUAGUUUUGACAUUGAGAAGCAUGUAACUGUUUAAAAAUUCUAUAAAAUAUAAUGAUUUUUACAUUAUACGUGAUCGGAAAAUCCUAAUACAAUGUUUGAUUAAUAAACGAAGCCCCAACAAAACGUUGAGAUACUACUAGGUGGGGAAAGAUCACACCUGUUAGAGAGAUUGAGCAAAAUGCUUGAGAGAAAAAUUCCACUCCCACCAAAAAUACUUAGUGAGAAUGUAUGUGUGUGCUGAUUUUCUUUCAAGCAUUUUAUGUCUUGGGUAUCCUCAUACCAUUACAAAAGUAAAUUUAAAAUAAAAAUAAAAACUAUUCCUAGCAUUCUUACUCUUUCCAUCUCUUUGCCUUGUUCAAACCUGGCUCAUCUUCUACCCAAGAGCCCUCUCAAUAUCCUCUCACUUCCUAGGGAGCCCAGAUAUUGUACCAAGUCUUCCAGCUCCCACUUCUUUUUGUUAGCACUUCCAGCUCAAUAAUUUUUCUCUCUCAUGCAAAACCUUUCCUCUUUGAGAGACUAAUCCCCUAAGCAAUACCUCUCUCUCUCACUCACUACUCUUCCUUAUUAUUGCCAUCUACAGCAAUCUCAUGCUUCCUAAUCUCCAAGGACUUUGAUAUCUGCCUUACACUCUUUCUCCCCUUUCUUCUGUAGGUUGCAUUAGGCAACUUCAACAUUCAUGCACUUGACCCAGCUGAAAUUUUAACCUCAAAGCUUCUUGAUCUGAGAUUCCAGUUAUUUUUAUCCUUACUGGAUUUUAGUCAUUCUCAUUAUAGAAACAUCUUCAACCUUGUUGUUAUUAUGAAACAAGCUCUAAUGUUUUAUACUUUUUUUUUCUUUUUUUAGGGCUGGCACCUGUGGUAUAUGGACGUUCCCAGGCUAGGGGUUGAAUCAGAGCUACAGCUGCCAACCUACACCACAGCUAUAGCAACGCAGGAUCUCAGCCAUGUCUGCAACCUACACCACACAACUCAUGGCAAUGCCGGAUCCUUAACUCACUGAGCAAGGCCAGGGAUCGAACCUACAGUCUCAUGGUUCCUAGUUGGAUUCAUUUCUGCUGCGCCAUGAUGGGAACUCCUAAUGUUUUCUACUUUAGUGCCUAAUAUUUAUUACCUGUUUUAUAGAUUUUCAACAUUAACAAUGCCUUAAAUUUCUUCUCUCUUCUCUCUUCCUUCAUUUGUUAUUAUUAUUCACUUCCAUUUCAAACUUAGUACCUAUGGGGUAUGGGUAUCAUUUCAAUCAUAAAUAAUAAUUUCAAUCUUCCAUUCCCAAACAAUGUCAGCUGGGCACUCAGGGCGAUUAUAAGGUCAAAAGACAUACAGGAAGGCAGACAAAUAGAUUCUUCUCUUAUUGUCCACAAUGAGUAUGAAACAAACAUAUCACCAACUGACACUAAAUUUCUCUUCCCUCUCAUAGCUAAGAUAAUCUUAUUUUAACUUUAAAAUUUAUUUUAUUUUUAAAAUUUAUUUUUCUCCUUUAAAAUUUGAGAUGCUUAUGUCUGAAUUUACUUAUUUUCAAAUACUAACAAAUGUAUGUCACUUCCCUCAUUCCUACAUUCUUGUCUUCCUUCUCUCAGAAAGUUGUCUCCCUACUUCAUUUUAAGCCCAGGUCCUCCCUGCCUCCAUCCUCUUUAUGCCAUUCUUUCCACCUCUUCAAGGUCCUUGAGCUGUUAUUCGUCUCUUUAUUCUCCUGUAUCUUCAUGUUUUAAGAUGUACCUCCCUCAUGCUUACAUUCCCUUCCAAUGUCUGCUCUCUCAGUUCCCUUCUACUCACAACCAAGAUACUCAAUACAGCAUAGCUUACAUUCACUGCUUCAGCUUUGUUCAGUCCUCUGGAACUAAGCUGCAAUCCCACUCCUCUUUACUUUAUUUUCCUAUUAUUUUAUUUUAAUUACUCAAUGAAUUUUAUUAUAUUUAUAGAUGUACAACAAUCAUCACAACCAAAUUUGAUAGCAUUUCCAUACCAAACUCUCAGUGUAUCCGCCCAACCCCCAACCUGUCUCAUUUGGAAACCAUGUUUUUCAAAGUCUGAGUCAGUAUCCGUUCUGCAAAGAAUUUCAUUGUGUCAUUUUUUUAGAUUCCACAUGUAAGUGAUAGCAUUUGGUGUUGGGGUGUCUCAUUGUCUGACUGACUUCACUUAGCAUGAUAAUUUCUAGGUCCAUCCAUGUUGCUGCAAAUGCUGUUACUUCUUUCCUUUUAAUGGCUUUUAAUCGCACUGUAUAUAUGUACCACAUCUUCUUGAUCUACUCCUCUGUUGAUGGACAUUUAGGUUGUUUCUAUGUCUUGACUAUUGAAAACAGUGCUGCAAUGAACAUUGGAGUACAUGUAUAUUUUUGAGUCAUGGUUUCCUCUGGAUAGGUGGCCGGGAGUGGGACUGCUGGAUCAAAUGGUAAUUUUAUUUUUAGUUUUCUGCGGAAUCUCCCUACUGUUUUCCAAAGUGGUUGCACCAAUUUAUAUGCCCACCAACAGUGUAAUAGGGUUCCUUUUUCUCCACACCCUCUCCAGCACUUAUUGUUUACAGACUUUUUGAUGAUGUCCAUUCUGGCCAGUGUAAAGUGGUACCUCAUAGUGGUUUUGAUUUGCAUUUCUCUAAUAAUGAGUGAUGUUGAACAUCUUUUCAUGUGUAUUUUGGUCAUCUGUAUGUCUUCUUUGGAGAAUUGUCUGUUUAGAUCUUCCGCAGGGUUGUUUUUUUUUUUGUUUUGUUUUGUUUUUUUGUAUUGAGCUGCAGAAGCUGUUUAUAAAUUUUGGAGAUUAAUCCCUUGUCGGUCGAUUCAUUUGCAAAUAUUUUCUCCCAUUCCGUGGGUUGUCUUUUCAUUUUAUUUAGGGUUUCCUUUGCCAUGCAGAAACUUUUAAGUUCAAUUAAGUCCCAUUUGUUUAUUUUUGUUUUUAUUGUCAAUAAUGUAAUAGGUGGAUCUGAGAAGGUGUUGCUGUCGUUUAGGUCAGAGUGUUUGGCCUAUGUUUUCCUCUAGGAGUUUUAUAGUAUCUGGUAUUAUAUAUAUGUCUUUAAUGCAUUUUGUGUUUAUUUUCAUAUAUGGUGCUAGGAAAUGUUCUAAUUUCAUUCUUUUACAUGUGGCUGUCCAGUUUUCUUUGCACUACUUAUUGAAGGGUCUAUCUUUUCUCCAUUGUAUAUUCUUGCCUCCUUUGUCAUAGAUUAGUUUACUGUAGGUGCCACUUUCCUUUACUUUUCUAUGGUCAUUGUCCUUAUUUUCCAAGCUAAUUUCAGUGGACACAGUUUUGUUCUCAUUAGCCUUCUCUGCAGCGUUGUGUGUAAUUCACUACGCUUGGCUGUAAGAAACUUCCUUCACUGUAUUUUCCUUACACACCUAUUUUAAGGAUUCCUUUCAGCUCUCUGACAGUUCCUUCUUAGUCUCUGAAGAAAGCACCUUAGAUGGGUUCACUUUCCAUAUUUUGGGUGUUUUUUGCUCCCUUAUUUUCAAUCUACAAAAUCUCCCUUGGUAUCUCAUUACUCCUGUCUCUUCAGUUGUUAUCAGUAUGCUCAUAGGUCUCAAAUUUCUAUUUCCAGACUUGAUGACAGGAAAGAAAAUAAAGGAGAAUAUCAUGUUGGUUCUUUUUAGCCAAGUAGUUUAUAAACUUCCAUUGCAGGAACUAUACACAGUGUUUGAUACAAUGUUUUGCAUGCUGAGGCCAAUUAGACAAUAAUUAAACUGGGAGAAAACUAUAUUUUAAAUCUUUUGUGCUCGGGCAGGGGUGUAGAGAAGCACCGAUAAUAUGUUCAGGAAAGUACUAUUUUUAAAAUCGAGACAGCACAUUUAGAAUCCAUUUCUCUUCUAUAACUAUAAAAUAAUUAUGAAAGUAUAGUCUUCAGUGACCUCUAAACCAUGAUAUACUUUUAUUUUAAGCAUAAAAGUCCAAUGGAAACACUACAAAUGAAUGAACUCAUGUUAAAAUAUUUUGUUUUGGACUGUGCCUUACUACUGCAAGAUAUUAACUGAAAUCUGUACUUAUGUUUCAUCACCUCAUAAUGGAACUUAUUCCAUUUACUAGCAUAAUCUGCUUGAACUCCAUUCUGCCUAAUGAUCUAUUUCUCAGUAAGUAAUAACAUACCUAUGAUUCCUCAACAUUUAUAGUACUAGGCUAUGCUGAAUAUGGGCUUUCUUUAAUGACAUUAUUGAUCUUCUCUCCCCAUCUAUCCCCUUUUCUUCACCCUGUCUUUCACCCUAUUCCUAUCAUUCAUCCGUCACACACACACACACACACACACACACACACACGAUACAGAAUCACAUACACAUAACUACAAAUACUUAGCAUCCAGACAGACAGAAUUUCCUAAGUUUACAAUUCUUGGUUUGUUAGUUUGCUAUAACUUACCUUAAAAAACUUUUUGAAACAUAUGGAGCAUUUUUCAUGUAUGGAACAAAAUAACCUGUAGUGGGCAUUAUUAUCAUUUUCCCACCCUCCUUCUGAGAAAUGUUCCUGCUGACAAUAUGAUUCAAAAGUGUGUGGUCCCAUUUUCAGACCCUUCAGCUAUGGCCAUGGUUGGUUGAUCCAGGUAUGGAUGCCUGUCCGAAGUUAGACUAAUCAGAUCCUUUCCUAGGUAGUUUUAAACUUGGGAACACUUAAGAUGAGUUUAGUCUUUGUCCAUAUAUGAGUAUAUGAAUAUAUGAAUCUGGAUUUGUUGGCAGCUGUUCCAACUGUGUGAGAAAAAUUGCAACCCACAAAGGGAAGCAGAAAUUAAAGGCUGCAGAGACAAUCCUCCUGGAUUCUAGUCCCUGGUUCUGAUUGACCUUGAGGUUAGUUUUAGCCAGCAAUUCCUGCAGUUUGGUUGCAAGAAGCAAUAUAUUUUCCUAUUUCUCUGAUUUAGUUUGAGUUGAUUUUCUGUCAGUUGCAACCAGAGCCCUGACUAUAAGUAUAUUCCAUAAACCUAAAGUUGGAUUUGUUCAUUUGUUUUUAUGUACUUUUUAUGUUUCUCAUAAAGGGAAAUAAGUAUUCUAUUUAAUCAGCUAAGAGUAUUAAAGUUGGGGCAUACAAAUUGAUUAUUUUUAUUCUGUUUCAGAGGAAGGAGGGAAUUGUUCUCCUAGGAAACUACAAAAAAAAAAAAAAAAAA
rnacentral:lncRNA from 1 species